GACGAACGCUGGCGGCGUGCUUAACACAUGCAAGUCGAACGGAAAGGCCUGCUUUCCCUUGUGGAUUGCGGGUACUCGAGUGGCGAACGGGUGAGUAACACGUGAGUGAUCUGCCCCCAACUUGGGUAUAAGCCUGGGAAACUGGGUCUAAUUCCCGAUAGGACUGCAGGGUGGUGCCUGUGGUGGAAAACGAUUUUCUAGUGGUUGGGGAUGAGCUCGCGGCCUAUCAGCUUGUUGGUGGGGUAAUGGCCUACCAAGGCGGCGACGGGUAGCCGGCCUGAGAGGGUGGACGGCCACAUUGGGACUGAGAUACGGCCCAGACUCCUACGGGAGGCAGCAGUGGGGAAUAUGGCACAAUGGGCGGAAGCCUGAUGCAGCGACGCCGCGGGGGGGAUGACGGCCUUCGGGUUGUAAACUCCUUUCGACCGCGAGGAAGCCACCUGGUUGGAAGGGUGGUGACGGUAGUGGUAGAAGAAGCACCGGCUAACUACGUG
rnacentral:rRNA from 1 species